rnacentral:rRNA from 2 species
UAAGAGCUCGUAGGCGGUUUGUCGCGUCUGCUGUGAAAUCCCGAGGCUCAACCUCGGGCUUGCAGUGGGUACGGGCAGACUAGAGUGCGGUAGGGGAGAUAGGAAUUCCUGGUGUAGCGGUGGAAUGCGCAGAUAUCAGGAGGAACACCGAUGGCGAAGGCAGAUCUCUGGGCCGUAACUGACGCUGAGGAGCGAAAGCGUGGGGAGCGAACAGGAUUAGAUACCCUGGUAGUCCACGCCGUAAACGUUGGGCGCUAGAUGUAGGGACCUUUCCACGGUUUCUGUGUCGUAGCUAACGCAUUAAGCGCCCCGCCUGGGGAGUACGGCCGCAAGGCUAAAACUCAAAGGAAUUGACGGGGGCCCGCACAAGCGGCGGAGCAUGCGGAUUAAUUCGAUGCAACGCGAAGAACCUUACCAAGGCUUGACAUACACCGGAAACGGCCAGAGAUGGUUGCCCCCUUGUGGUCGGUGUACAGGUGGUGCAUGGUUGUCGUCAGCUCGUGUCGUGAGAUGUUGGGUUAAGUCCCGCAACGAGCGCAACCCUCGUUCUAUGUUGCCAGCGCGUUAUGGCGGGGACUCAUAGGAGACUGCCGGGGUCAACUCGGAGGAAGGUGGGGAUGACGUCAAAUCAUCAUGCCCCUUAUGUCUUGGGCUUCACGCAUGCUACAAUGGCCGGUACAAAGGGCUGCGAUACCGUAAGGUGGAGCGAAUCCCAAAAAGCCGGUCUCAGUUCGGAUUGAGGUCUGCAACUCGACCUCAUGAAGUCGGAGUCGCUAGUAAUCGCAGAUCAGCAACGCUGCGGUGAAUACGUUCCCGGGCCUUGUACACACCGCCCGUCAAGUCAUGAAAGUCGGUAACACCCGAAGCCGG